rnacentral:misc_RNA from 1 species
UUUCCGUAGGUGAACCUGCGGAAGGAUCAUUAUUGAAUAAACUUGGUCGAGCUGUUGCUGGUCCCUCGGGGCAUGUGCACGCUUGCCACCAAUUUUAACCACCUGUGCACCUCUUGUAGACUGAAAAACUGAUUCUCGAGGCAACUCGGAUUGAGGACUGCUGUGCGCAAGCCAGCUGUUCUUGUGUUUCUCAGUCUAUGUUUUACAUACCCCGAAUGAAUGUAUUAGAAUGUUUUGCUGGGCCUCAGUGCCUUUAAAUCAAAUACAACUUUCAACAACGGAUCUCUUGGCUCUCGCAUCGAUGAAGAACGCAGC